rnacentral:lncRNA from 10 species
CAGCGGGCUAGAGGAACCAUAGGCAGAGGUACUUUGUGUGAAUAGCGUGGUCCUGGGGGCUGAACUCCUCAGGGAUAUAGACGCAGGUGUUGGAAGCCCCAGGAGAGGGUUUGGCCCAAAUCUACUAUGAUUAAAUAAAUAUGGCACUUUAGAGAGGCGCUACUAAUUUGUGGGACUAAAUUUUUAAUGGCUACAGCAUGUUGUCUUAUUAAAGAAAUAGCGGGGACUUUCAUCCGAACACUUCAUGGCAAAGGGCUAAAAAUUGCACAUGUCCACUGGGUGUCCCUGAUAUCCCCAGACAUGGCAAAUGCCUGGCUGGGCAGGUUGACCAGUGUGCAGCAAGGGGCUUUCCCAGGAGGCCUGCAGCUGGGAUGGAGGCCAGGACUAGUGCAAGGUGGGUGAGGCGACUGAGAGCAAAUGGGAUGGAGGCCAGAACUAGGGCAAGGUGGGUGAAACGACUGCAUUGAGAGCAAAAUUUAAGGAGGCCUCCAAAUACUCAGUAAUCAAACAAUACUUUAAUUUGAUAUGUAUUUUAAUGAUAAUAAGCAAAAUUUUAGAAUUUUAAAUAAAGACAAGGUCAGCAACAUUGCCACACAUCACAACCGU